AAUGCCAUGCUGCGUCCGCCAACCAAUCAGCAUCUUCGUUGCCCUUGACGCCGGCGUGGGCGCCCGCGCCGCUGCUUCGUGUGCAGUGCUCGGAAAUCCGCCGGCCAGCGCGGACAAUUCGCGCUUUUGCUGCAAGACAGGCCGCGUGUUGCGUGCAUGCAUCGCGGAGCCUUUCCGCCACUUCGACCGUGUCUGCUAACCUGGCGAGCACGUAUUUGGACCCCGGUUGCUCAAGACUCAAGAAUGGGGUGCUAAAAAAUUGCGGACGAAGCAUCGUUACCCCAGAUCGCAGCGACUGGUGUCUUCUAACGGCAGCACUUGUCGGAAGCUGUGAACGAGCUUGGCGUAUUCGGUGGCACUCGUCUCUACAACGGCGAAUGACACGUGGCUGAACGGCGACCCGGCAACUGGCGGCGGCCGACUGGGCGGCAUCCAAGGCUGCGUCCUCCAGCUUGUCGGGGUGGCUGCACCACUGGGCUCGGAGAGCCCUUUUUCGUGUCCAGCAGGUCCGAGGCCAACGAAAAAUCAGCGGUGCGCCAGGACCCCGAAAGAGCUGAAGAGCCGCAGCCUGGCCCCAGUGGGGCACGCAUCGUGCCUCGACACCCGCCCUGCCACGAAAGCCAAGGCCCGGCGAGGGUAAGCC